AGAUCCUGGCAAAUCACAGGGCCUCCGAGGUCCCUAGAUUGUCCAAGGUUACAAAUUGGAGAAUAGCCACAGGCAGGUAUUACCCUCCUAAUGUACUUACUGCACAAGCUCUUACAUGUACCACACACACACACACACACAUGAGCCCUGCACACUGUCACAUUUGCCCUCUACCUGCUUUGAAGCAGGCUAAAAACCUAGCACCACAGACCCUGUGGAGAACCCCCAGCUCCUCUCUGGAAGAUCCCUUCCCCUAGCAGGUUGACAUAGGCAGAAAGCAGCCAGCCUUGUCCUAAAAAAGACACUGUCCUGGCCUUCUCUAUCACAGUUGGCUCAGAGUUCCCUCUAAGACUCCCCCCACCCCAUGUACACACUGGAGGUUCUUGAGGGUCAAACUGUGAUGUGAGUGCCCUAGUGUCCUGCUUCCCUGCCCCAAGGCUAAGCCAGCCUGGGCCCAUUCACAGCUACUAGUGAGGAUGUGAUAUUAUAAAGGCUAGAACAGAUAAGCCACUAAAUCGGGCAGACUUAACACUUGGUGGUGGGCCUAGAAUCCCCAGCUGUGCUCCCGAAACGCGCCCUACUGCCUUGUAGAUCUGGGAGUUUGCAGCUAGUAUGGAGGGCUUGGUGCCUCCAUCAGUUGCCUCACGUUGUGGAUCACGUCUCAGUCUAGUCCAUGUGUUUUAAUAAUAUCAUUCUGAGCCAGCUUCCACUUAUUCUUGGUCCAAAGAGCAGUUUGUUUCCAUGUGGGAUGUGGCUAGUUUUUGUUUUUGUUUUUGUUUUUGUUCUUGUUUUUGUUUUUUGUUUUGUUUCAUUGAUGACUGUGUGGGAAUGAAAUCUCUUGUACAUACUUAGCACAGCACUUGGGGUAUGAACCCACACCCCUGUUCUGUAACAUUAGCGCUUACUGUAAAACAUCGGGAGAAGUAUAGUAUUGUAUUUGUAACAAUAUCAUUCUUUGUAUACACGAAACUCAAUGAUCUCUAUAUAUAAAUAUAAAUAUAUAUAAAUAAAAUAUAUCUACACGUGAGCCUGGAAUGUUGAUACUGCACACCCACUGAAUGUAUUUCCUCUGACAGUCUGGUCACCGGUCCUGGCCCACCCUCCCCUUCUUUGUGCCGUGGCGGCAGUUGUCUGGUUUGGGGUUGUGAUGUAUUUAAUGUGCUAUCUCCUUAUUUAACUGAACGCUAAUGUCUGUAUAAGAAUUGCUGCAACAAUAAACAAGGACUUC
rnacentral:lncRNA from 1 species